GCUUUACCCAGCCUGCGUUCAUGAUGCCAGCAAGGCAGGGCCACCAAAACAGAAAAAUGGAAGAUGAAUUUUGUGGAAAGAUUGUAUUAUUUGAAAUUUCAAAGAGAGCGCUGCCGUCGUCCUCACAGACGGAGUUUCGCUCUUCUUGCCCUGGCUGGAGUACAAUGGUGCAAUCUCAGCUCACCCCAACCUCUGCCUCCUGGGUUCAAGCAAUUCUCCUGCCUCCGCCUCCUGAGUACCUGGGAUUACAGGGGUUGGUGGAUUUUUAGGAAGCCGGGACUCUGUCAUCAUCUGAAAAUACCCAUUUCUGAUGCUACUGCCAUUCCCUGUUACCUGAUACUCAAAGCAUCGCCCAGUGUUGGGUGGAGUUUCGGCUGCAUUCACUCAUACAUGAGCCAAAGUCGCUAAAGCCAGCAGGGAUGGGAGCCUGUAGGAGCCACUCUGACCAGCGCAGCAUUGGAGGAACCCUACUGGAGGCCCCUCAUGGGAGCAGAUGGCAAGGGCGCCCAGAAACAGAGUCUUGAUAUUUGCUCAGUCUGGACUCCGACUUCUGGGCUCAAGUGAGCCAAUGGCUCAGCCUCUCACGGAACUGGGACUACAGAUGUGAGCCAUUGCACCCAGCUUAUGCUGGGAGUUAUUCAGAAUCAUAUGCUUUGGCACUACCUUGCAGUAAGAAAACUAAGGUGCUUAACCAGUUAGAAGGGCCUCACUCCUUAUAGGGGUUUCAGAGCAGGGCCAAGAUGGUCCUGAACAAGCCAUGCUGGGACCACCUCCAGGACAAACCGUGGAGGUAGAUUCAACACUCUCUCUCUUUUUGUGGCCUGUAUAGGGACCAAAAUACUUUCCCAGCGCUGUGCAGUCUUUGCAGCUGGAACAUGGUUCUGUGUGUGUGUGUGUGUGUGUGUGUGUGUGUGUGUGUGUUUGAGACAGGGUCUGGCUCUGUCAUCCAGACUGG